rnacentral:rRNA from 1 species
UACGGGGGGAGCAAGCGUUGUUCGGAUUUACUGGGCGUAAAGGGCGCGUAGGCGGCCAACUAAGUCAGACGUGAAAUCCCUCGGCUUAACCGGGGAACUGCGUCUGAUACUGGAUGGCUUGAGUUUGGGAGAGGGAUGCGGAAUUCCAGGUGUAGCGGUGAAAUGCGUAGAUAUCUGGAGGAACACCGGUGGCGAAGGCGGCAUCCUGGACCAACACUGACACUGAGGAGCGAAAGCCAGGGGAGCAAACGGG